GGGCACUGCGCGCUUAAGGAAUAAAGGUGCGUGCGGCAGAGACUGAACAGAGAGCCGCUCACCCCCGUGGCCGGCCACGUGGUCGCGGGGGGGAAGGGCGCCCAGAAGCGGAGGCACCCGCGGCAAUAACCCAACACCCUGUUCUGUCCCCACGCCGCUCGGGAAACAGCAACAAGCGACCGGGGACGCGGGCAGGGCAGGAAGGCAAGGAUAGGAUUCCCGCUGGGCGGACGAAGCCGGCGGGCGGGAAUCAGUACCAGAAACACGUAGGACCGCAGGAGUCUUACUCCGCGGUCCCGACGGCGGCAC